rnacentral:ncRNA from 1 species
UGAAAUAUAGAUAAGUCUAUAUAGAGGUUCGAACUGGUUGAUAUUGCAAAAUCAUCAGAAGAGAUGAGAUUAGCGGUGAAAUGCUUAUCGAAUUCGGAGCUAGCUGGUUCUCCUCGAAAUGCGUUGAGGCGCAGCUAUUAUAAAUACAUAUUUAAGGGGUGGUAAAGCACUAUAUAUAAUAUAUAAUAUUGUAUUAACAAUAUAAUAAUUUAUAUAUAAACUAAUAAUACCUAAUUAUGUUAUAAAAAUAAUAAGUGAGACUAUUGGGGAGAAUCUCAAGAGUCUAAAGGGAAACAACCCACAUC